ensembl:lncRNA
AAUUAUCGCAGUGACAGAAUAAAAGUGACGUGUGUUAUAGAAUUAUUGCAAUGACAGAGUAAAAGUGACGUUCUAUAGAAUUAUUACAGUGGCAGAAUAAAAGUGACGUGUGUUAUAGAAUUAUCGCAGUGACAGAAUAAAAGUGACGUGUGUUAUAGAAUUAUUGCAAUGACAGAAGUAAAGUGACGUGUGCUAUAGAAUUAUUACAAUGACAGAGUAAAAGUGACGUGUGCUAUAGAAUUAUUGCAAUGACAGAAUAAAAGUGACGUGUGCUAUAGAAUUAUUGCAAUGACAGAGUAAAAGUGACGUGUGCUAUA